rnacentral:rRNA from 1 species
GUAGGGAAUAUUGGUCAAUGGACGAAAGUCUGAACCAGCCAUUCCGCGUGCAGGAAGAAGAUUCUAUGGAUUGUAAACUGCUUUUAGCAGAGAAGAAACGCCUUCAUUGAUGAGGGUUUGACGGUAUCUGCGGAAUAAGCACCGGCUAACUCCGUGCCAGCAGCCGCGGUAAUACGGGGGGUGCAAGCGUUAUCCGGAAUCACUGGGUUUAAAGGGUGCGUAGGCGGGAAAUUAAGUCAGUGGUGAAAGUCUGUUGCUUAACGAUAGAAUUGCCGUUGAUACUGAUUUUCUUGAAUUGGGUAGAGGUUAGCGGAAUGUGACAUGUAGCGGUGAAAUGCAUAGAUAUGUCAUGGAACACCAAUUGCGAAGGCAGCUAGCUGGGCCUUGAUUGACGCUGAGGCACGAAAGCAUGGGGAGCAAACAGGAUUAGAAACCCGGGUAGUCC